GACGAACUGUCCUAACGUUGUUCGGAAUCACUGGGCUUAAAGGGCGCGUAGGCGGUCCGCCAAGUCAGGGGUGAAAUCCUGCAGCUUAACUGUAGAAGUGCCUCUGAUACUGGCGGUCUUGAGGGAAAUAGGGGUGUGCGGAACUUCCAGUGGAGCGGUGAAAUGCGUUGAUAUUGGAAGGAACGCCGGAGGCGAAAGCGGCGCACUGGAUUUCUUCUGACGCUGAGGCGCGAAAGCUAGGGGAGCAAACAGG
rnacentral:rRNA from 1 species